GACGAACGCUGGCGGCGUGCUUAACACAUGCCAGUCGAACGGAAAGGUCAUGAUUUUGUGGGGUGCUCGAGUGGCGAACGGGUGAGUAACACGCGAGUAACCUGCCCUUGACUAUGGGAUAACUUCAGGAAACUGGGGCUAAUAACGGAUAGGCGCUCCCGCCGCAUGGUGGGGGUUGGAAAGUUUCGGCGGUUGGGGAUGGACUCGCGGCUUAUCAGCCUGUUGGUGGGGUAGUGGCUUGCCAAGGCUUGGACGGGUAGACGACCUGAGAUGGUGGCCGGCCACGUUAGGACUGAGAUGCGGCCCGGACUCAUACCUGAGGCAACGGUGGAGAGUGUAGCACAGUGGGCGGGAGCCUGAUGCGACGACGCCGCGUGCGGGAUGACGACCUGCGGGUUGGAAACCGCUUUCGCCUGAGACGGGGCGUGAAUGACGGUAACGGGUAAAGAAGCACCGGCUAACUACGUG
rnacentral:rRNA from 1 species